AUUUGUCAAAGAGAGUAAUACUUCAUUGCCCCAAGGUUUGACAUAGAUAUAAAUUUUGAGUGUGAGUGUUAAUGUCAAUUUGAUAUGAAUAUAAAAUUGUGGAAAGGUUCUUUCUUUGAAGAAUGGUUAAUUUUUUUGAUAAAGAUUUCAUGGAUUCACUUCAUAGAUUGCAUGAUGGAAUCUCAACUGCCCCAUUAUAGUAGGAUUAAUCGGUAUUAGUUUUCUUACUUGAAGUAUAUUUUACUUUGAGUGUUGCUCAGCGUGCUACUCAUGCUCCGUCGUAGUUAUAUACAAAUGAUGAAUUUUAAGAAUUCUAUUAAACCUAAACUAAUUUUAAAUCAUCUUUCCAAUUUUGUAAGAAAAAAAAAAGUUUGGCCCCUGUUUUUGUAUGAAAUUAAACACAGUUGAAGGAGUAAUUCUGAGUGGAAUGAGAACCAUUGAACAGAGCAUUAUAGCAUUAAAUGUCAUCUCAUUUCAGUUUGUUUGAGAACCAUGAAUUGUGUAAUGAAGAACAAACAUUAAGAUAAAUUCAUUGUGCCUUUCUAUAUUUUUAUGUCUUUAGCUUCAUACAUUCACUGCUACCUCAUGGAGAUUUUUUUUUAUUAUUUAUCCUGUAAUGGUGAUUAUAUUGAAGGCAUUUCUAAGGCUGUUUUGGUUCCUUCCGUGUCUUUUGAUCAACUCCUGGGGCGUUAUCACUCAAAAAACAACCAAAUAGGCUUGAAUAGUUAAUGCCUUAACUUUUAUCAGCAAGGUAACCACUGAUCAACAUAAUAAAUAAGUCUAUUGUGGUACCCUCCUAACCAAAUACUCUCAUGCAUUGUGAGUAAUUUUUUCUUAUUUUGCAUAAUUGUUGUGGCCUGUGCAAUAUUCAUGUAAUAGAUUUCUUGUUAUCUUAGUUCUUAUUUUUAUAUUUGGGGACUCUCUUGAUCCAAAAGGAGGUGAGUUUGCUUUAGGGUGUUGACAAGGACAUGAAAAAGCUUUCAAUCCCUCUUUCUACAAGUGAUGAGACUGAUAAUUGCACCAUCAUCUGGUAUGAUGUUCUUACACAAUAUCAAGUCAAUAUUCACAAGGACCCAUAAUUAAAAAUAUAUAUAUAUACAUGAAUAAAAAAAGAAAGAGUGGCACAGUUUCUCUCUCUCUCUCUCUCCCUGUCAUUUUGCAUGCACAGAUGGUGUGGCUGGUAAUCACAUGAUAAUACCUGCUUCUUGUGAUCUUGUAGAUUGAUGGUGUGGCAUUGUUGCGAAUGUUGUAUAUUAUUAUGAAAUUUUCAACUAGUUUGUUAGUAUUAGGAACUUUUGGUGGUUUGGUCCUGUGCUUUUGUGGACUCAAGUUGACAUCAAACUUUUUUGAGAUGUGAUUGAGACCCCCUCAAUCACCAACCCCCACCACCCCCACACACGUGGGGGUUGGUGAUUGGAGGAGGAAAAAAAUAAAAAUAAAAAAAUAAUAAUAAUCUGGCCAAUCAAUCCAAGAGGGGGUUGUGGGGGUGGGGGGGAAAAGGGAGUCCAGAUCAUUUUUGAACUUUUUUUAGCUGGAAAUGUUAUGAAAAGGAUUUCUAUGCACAAAGCCAUUCUUGUGGACUAUUUGAUGAAUGAUCAUUUUAUCAAGUAUUAUCAAUUUUUUUAUUUCCAUGCUUGAAUUGACUUUAAACACAUACUAUUUACUAAUCAUUAGUUGUCUGUUUUAUAUUUGAUGAAUCUCUUAGUGCUGACUUGUGCUUGAGAGCCAAUGGACCUCUACUGAUCACCCACACUCAGUGAACCUGUCAAGUUAUUUUCAAUGUGCCAUUUAUAUUGGCUGUACAGUGCUAGCUGAGAAAGUUUGAUAUUGUGUUGGUUUUUGUCUUACUAGUGUUCAAUAAUCAAAUUCAUGCCUCUUUUUGCUCGAACUUGUAGUUUCAAUAUUAGAGGUUGAUGAUUUGUUUCCGAUGUUCUCUUGACAGAGGGAGCAAUGGUGGCAACAAGACUGACAGGAAUUCUUUCAGGACAACCUAUAUUCUUCAAGACUCUGUAACAAGACUGUACAGAAGUGGCCUUUUUCUUGUUUCCAUAUACUAGUUUUUAAUGUGAAUUUGGGUGGUAAUUGCAAGGAUUCUUGGAAUCAAAACUACUGUAACCUCAAAUGUUUUUUUUGUAAUUGCAAUAGGUGGAAAAUCUUUGCAAGAUUCUUUUAGGAACUCUGUUAUUGUAACGGGAAUUUUAUUAAAGGAAGAGAUGGAAAAUAAUGCAUGAAUGUUAAAAUUUUUGUAAA